CGGGUGCGUAACACGUGAGCAACCUUCCGAAAUAUGGGGGAUAGCCGGCCUAACGGCCGAGUAAUACCGCAUACGCUCUCGAUGAGGCAUUUCAUUGAGAGGAAACCUCCGGGGUAUUUCGAGGGGCUCGCGGCCUAUCAGCUAGUUGGCGAGGUAACGGCUCACCAAGGCAACGACGGGUAGCUGGUCUGAGAGGAUGGCCAGCCACAUUGGGACUGAGAUACGGCCCAG
rnacentral:rRNA from 1 species